AAAAAUAAUAAUAAUAACUUGGCUCUCUCUCUCUCCACCUUGGAUCCUUUUCUUCCUCCGCCAACUUGUCUCCGACACAUGGUGGGUUUCUCUUGGUGGCUUCACUCCUACAACAAUGCAUCCAUGGCGUCCGAACUUACUCCAACACAUGAUGAGCAAGCAUAUUUGGUUUUAAUUGAGACAUAGCAAAAACAAGCAUGCAAUUCAAAAGAAAAGACAGAGUAAAAGGAGAACACGAACAAACCCUGAAAGGAGAGACAACACACACGCGAACUAUAUUGAGCUAAGCUUUCUUUCUCUCCUAUUUCAUUAUUGUUCUUUUAUUACUUAUUUCACAUUUUAUCGGUUUGAACCCCACCGGUGUGGAUUGACACCGAGGACGAUGCCAAAUUCAAGUUUGGGGAAAGGUCUAACAUAGAACAACUCCAUUAUUAGCAACUGAAUUUCACGUUUCUAUGCAUUAGUGCAUUUCAAUUAAAAAAUUUCAAAAAAUUGCAUAAAUUUGCAUUAGUUUCCCAUUCUCAUUUGCAUAUUCCGCAUGACAGAUGGCUUUAGAAUUGCAUUUACAUAAGCAUAUAACUACGGUAUAUAGGUCACAUGCAUAGAAAAUAUUUUUGAGGGUGCUGGAUAGACGACAUAUGAAUGAUAUAGUAGAGAUUAUUUGAUAGUUAGAACAAUAUGAGUGACAUUAAAUGGAGACAAAAUCCUUAGCUGCCAAUCAUUACGUGGGACGAGAAAGCAUAGUAGAAUAAACUUGAUUUCGUUCAAUGGUACCAAUAACUAGACAAGAAUCUCGUUCUUGACAUGAAUUCGACCAUUUAUUCUCAUUCUCUCUUUUUAGUGUAUUUUUCUAGAGUUUUGCCCGAGGAUAAACAAAAGUCUAAGUUUAAAAGAGUUGAUAACAUCAAUUUUGCAUGAUAUUUUUCUAUUGUUUUAGUUACAUUUUACCUCAUAUUUUAUACAAAAUUAUGAAUUAGAUUACAUUUUAGGCAUAAAUACCAUUUUAUUUGCUUUAUGAUGGAAUUUCAGUUAUAUUUGCUUAAUCGGACAAAAAAGAAGCAAAAACGGAGUUCGAGGAACUUAUUGGACCAAGAUUGAAUGUCAAGGGAAGUGCGGGAUGAGAAACAUGCAAGGAAUGGACGAGAAUCAAAGUUCGAAGGCCAUAUCGAGCAAGCAACCUCUAUAUCGACCUUGGGAGAUUCUCGAUAUCGAGCACACAAUUCGAUAUCGGCAUGGUAUCUUGGCCUUGAUAUUGACCAUACUCAAGCUUGAUAUCGACUAGCUCUUGUACGUGAGAUCUUGCAGCUUGGAUCCAUAUCCAUCGAGAUGAAAAUAUUGACCAGGUUUCGAGCUCGAUAUCGGUGUGAUCCACUCGAUCUUGAACUUUGAUUGGCUGAUGAUUAGCUAGAAACAUAUUCUUUUAUGUCAUACAAGACGGGUCACACUAUAUUUAUUUUUCUUGUGUAAAACAUGUGUGUAUAUCUAUAUAUAUGAAGUAAAUUAAUACUG